rnacentral:rRNA from 1 species
UACGGAGGGUGCAAGCGUUGUUCGGAUUUAUUGGGCGUAAAGCGCGUGUAGGCGGUUUCUUAAGUCUGAUGUGAAAGCCCUAGGCUCAACCCAGGAAGUGCAUUGGAUACUGGGAGACUUGAAUACGAGAGAGGGUAGUGGAAUUCCUAGUGUAGGAGUGAAAUCCGUAGAUAUUAGGAGGAACACCGGUGGCGAAGGCGGCUACCUGGACCGAUAUUGACGCUGAGACGCGAAAGCGUGGGGAGCGAACCGG